rnacentral:rRNA from 1 species
UUCCGUAGGGGGAACCUGCGGAGGGAUCAUUACAGAGUUACUACUCCAAAACCCAUUGUGAACCUUACCUAUGUUCUGUUGCCUCGGCGGCGUGGUCAGCGCCCCCUCUGAAAAGAGGACGAUGCCCUCCCGCCGGCAGCACCAAACUCUUGAAUUUUACAGCGGAUUACAGUUCUGAUUUGAAAAGAAAAAACAAGUUAAAACUUUCAACAACGGAUCUCUUGGUUCUGGCAUCGAUGAAGAACGCAGCGAAAUGCGAUAAGUAAUGUGAAUUGCAGAAUUCAGUGAAUCAUCGAAUCUUUGAACGCACAUUGCGCCCGGCAGUAAUCUGCCGGGCAUGCCUGUCCGAGCGUCAUUUCAACCCUCGAACCUCCGUUUCCUCAGGGAAGCUCAGGGUCGGUGUUGGGGCGCUACGGCGAGUCUUCGCGACCCUCCGUAGGCCCUGAAAUACAGUGGCGGUCCCGCCGCGGUUGCCUUCUGCGUAGUAAGUCUCUUUUGCAAGCUCGCAUUGGGUCCCGGCGGAGGCCUGCCGUCAAACCACCUAUAACUCCAGAUGGUUUGACCUCGGAUCAGGUAGGGUUACCCGCUGAACUUAAGCAUAUCUAACCGGG